AUGAUGUUUUCUGCUGAGAUUGUGUACAAGAGCUUUUGGUUAUUGGGGGAUGGGGGAGAAGAUAGAAAUCUUCUGCGUCAUGAGGAAACUAAUUUUAUUUUCAUCCUUUCUCCUUUCAAAGGGCUAUAUUAUUGCUACAGAGGGAAAACAGGCAUCAUUUGCAGGAAAGAGAAACAAGAAAAAGCAAUGGAAAAUAGAACCAAAGAACGUUAAGAUUGCCCGGUCUCCAGUACUUAACACAGUGCCUGGCACAUAAAGGUGUUCAAUCAACUAUUGUUAGUGAGUUGAG
rnacentral:lncRNA from 1 species